GGGUCCUUAGCUCAGUUGGUAGAGCACCUGCCUUUUAAGCAGAGGGUCGGGGGUUCGAUUCCCUCAGGGCCCA
rnacentral:tRNA from 1 species